CCUACGGGAGGCAGCAGUGGGGAAUAUUGCACAAUGGGCGCAAGCCUGAUGCAGCCAUGCCGCGUGUGUGAAGAAGGCCUUCGGGUUGUAAAGCACUUUCAGCGGGGAGGAAGGCGGUGAGGUUAAUAACCUCAUCGAUUGACGUUACCCGCAGAAGAAGCACCGGCUAACUCCGUGCCAGCAGCCGCGGUAAUACGGAGGGUGCAAGCGUUAGUCGGAAUUACUGGGCGUAAAGCGCACGCAGGCGGUCUGUCAAGUCGGAUGUGAAAUCCCCGGGCUCAACCUGGGAACUGCAUUCGAAACUGGCAGGCUAGAGUCUUGUAGAGGGGGGUAGAAUUCCAGGUGUAGCGGUGAAAUGCGUAGAGAUCUGGAGGAAUACCGGUGGCGAAGGCGGCCCCCUGGACAAAGACUGACGCUCAGGUGCGAAAGCGUGGGGAGCAAACAGGAUUAGAUACCCUUGUAGUC
rnacentral:rRNA from 1 species